UACGUAGGGGGCAAGCGUUAUCCGGAAUUAUUGGGCGUAAAGAGUGCGUAGGUGGUUUGAUAAGCGCAUAGGUGAAAGGCUACAGCUCAACUGUAGUAAGCCUUGCGAACUGUCAAACUUGAGUGCAGGAGAGGAGAGUGGAAUUCCUAGUGUAGCGGUGAAAUGCGUAGAUAUUAGGAGGAACACCAGUGGCGAAGGCGGCUCUCUGGACUGUAACUGACACUGAGGCACGAAAGCGUGGGGAGCGAACAGG
rnacentral:rRNA from 1 species